rnacentral:lncRNA from 1 species
CGAAAGGCAAGAUGCCAGAGUAUAAAUGACUUUGAGACAAGAAAAUGAAGUGUCCCAGAAGAGGAAAUGCAGUAAAUGUGCUGGGGAUAAAAAGAAGGUUAGAAAGCAAACAAUUUCAGAAGGGAAGAAAUGACCUCUAAAAGGGAAGCUGGGAUGAUAGCAAAGGCAAUGUCAACGUCCUCACAAUUUCACUUAGAUUUUCCUGGCUACUCUGCAGAAGGCAUGAUAAGAUAAAUGCUUAUUGAUUUCAAGAUCAAGGCAACAGGAUCCUUUCUGUUUAAUUAUUUCUUUGUAAGUUAAAAACUAAAUGCUUUGGCAAAUGCUGUAAAUACAAAGGGCAG